rnacentral:rRNA from 1 species
AGCAGCCGCGGUAAUUCCAGCUCCAAUAGCGUAUAUUAAAGUUGUUGCAGUUAAAAAGCUCGUAGUUGAAUUUCGGGGUCAGUAGGCUGGUCAUGCCACAGGUAUGUACUGGUCUCACUGAUUCCUCCUUCCUGAUGAACCGUAAUGCCAUUAAUUUGGUGCUGCGGGGAAACUGGACUGUUACUUUGAAAAAAUUAGAGUGUUUAAAGCAGGCUAACGCUUGAAUACAUUAGCAUGGAAUAAUGAAAUAGGACGUUCGAUCCUAUUUUGUUGGUUUCUAGGAUUGACGUAAUGAUUAAUAGGGAUAGUUGGGGGCAUUAGUAUUCAAUUGUCAGAGGUGAAAUUCUUGGAUUUAUUGAAAGACUAACUACUGCGAAAGCAUUUGCCAAGGAUGUUUUUCAUUAAUCAAGAACGAAAGUUAGAGGUUCGAAGGCGAUCAGAUACCGCCCUAGUUCUAACCAUAAACGAUGUCGAUGGCGAUCCGCUAUCGUUAACUGAAUAGACUUAGCGGG